UGACCGUAUUCGCGGUUUUGCGGAUAUAAGAGGCCGGACGGACAGCCAGGUCAAAUGCCGA
rnacentral:sRNA from 1 species